rnacentral:rRNA from 1 species
GUUGAACGCUGGCGGCACGCCUAACACAUGCAAGUCGAACGAGUGGCGGACGGGUGAGUAAUGUCUUGGAAACUGCCUGAUGGAGGGGGCUAACUACUGGACACGGUAGCUAAUACCGCAUACCAUCGUAUGUGCCCAGAUUGGAUGAGCGAGUCGGUGGGGUAAAGGCUAACCAAGGCGACGAUCCCUAGCUGGUCUGAGAGGAUGACCAGCCACACGGGAACGGAGACACGGUCCAGACCCCUACGGGAGGCAGCAGUGGGGAAUAUUGCACAAUGGGCGAAAGCCUGAUGGAGCAAUGCCGCGUGUAUGAAGAAGGUCUUCGGGUUGUAAAGCACUGUUAGCGGGGAGGCGUUACCCGAAGAAGAAGCCACGGCUAACUCCGUGCCAGCCGCCGCGGUAAUAC